rnacentral:rRNA from 1 species
GAUGAACGCUGGCGGCGUGCCUAAUACAUGCAAGUCGAGCGAACGGACGAGAAGCUUGCUUCUCUGAUGUUAGCGGCGGACGGGUGAGUAACACGUGGAUAACCUACCUAUAAGACUGGGAUAACUUCGGGAAACCGGAGCUAAUACCGGAUAAUAUUUUGAACCGCAUGGUUCAAAAGUGAAAGACGGUCUUGCUGUCACUUAUAGAUGGAUCCGCGCUGCAUUAGCUAGUUGGUAAGGUAACGGCUUACCAAGGCAACGAUGCAUAGCCGACCUGAGAGGGUGAUCGGCCACACUGGAACUGAGACACGGUCCAGACUCCUACGGGAGGCAGCAGUAGGGAAUCUUCCGCAAAGGGCGAAAGCCUGACGGAGCAACGCCGCGUGAGUGAUGAAGGUCUUCGGAUCGUAAAACUCUGUUAUUAGGGAAGAACAUAUGUGUAAGUAACUGUGCACAUCUUGACGGUACCUAAUCAGAAAGCCACGGCUAACUACGUA